rnacentral:rRNA from 1 species
AUUGAACGCUGGCGGCAUGCCUUACACAUGCAAGUCGAACGGCAGCGCGGGGCAACCUGGCGGCGAGUGGCGAACGGGUGAGUAACAUAUCGGAACAUACCCUAGAGUGGGGAUAACGUAGCGAAAGUUACGCUAAUACCGCAUACGCACUAAGGUGGAAAGUGGGGGAUUCGCAAGAACCUCAUGCUCAUGGAGUGGCCGAUAUCAGAUUAGGUAGUUGGUGAGGUAAAGGCUCACCAAGCCGACGAUCUGUAGCUGGUCUGAGAGGACGACCAGCCACACUGGGACUGAGACACGGCCCAGACUCCUACGGGAGGCAGCAGUGGGGAAUUUUGGACAAUGGGCGCAAGCCUGAUCCAGCAAUGCCGCGUGCAGGAUGAAGGCCUCGGUGUAACGUAGCCUUGUUACGGAACGAAACGGUACGGAGCGUCUAA